rnacentral:ncRNA from 1 species
AAAAGUUUGGUCCUAGCUUUUUUAUUAAUUAUAAGCAAAUUUAUACAUGCAAGAGUCAUCACUCCUGUGAGAAUGCCCCACAAAUCUUACAGAUCUAAGGGAGCAGGUAUCAAGCACACCCACGGUAGCUCAUAACACCUUGCUUUGCCACACCCCCACGGGAUACAGCAGUAAUCAAAAUUAAGCCAUAAACGAAAGUUUGACUAAGUUAUGCUACACUUAUUUUUAAGGGUUGGUAAAUCUCGUGCCAGCCACCGCGGUCAUACGAUUAACCCUAAUUAAUAAACCUCGGCGUAAAGAGUGUUUAAAAUCAAACAAAAUAAGAUUAAAUUUUACCUAAGUCGUAAAAAACAUCAGGUAAAAAUAAACUCAUUAACGAAAGUAAUCUUAACAAACAUAAAGACACCAAAGCUGAGACCCAAACUGGGAUUAGAUACCCCACUAUGCUCAGCCAUAAACACAAAUAUUUAACAACAAAAAUAUUCGCCAGAGAACUACUAGCAACAGCUUAAAACUCAAAGGACUUGGCGGUGCUUUAAACCCAUCUAGAGGAGCCUGUUCUAUAAUCGAUAAACCCCGAUAAACCUCACCACUUCUCGCUAAUUCAGUUUAUAUACCGCCAUCUUCAGCAAACCCUCACAAGGCAUUAAAGUAAGCACAAUUAUCAUCAUAAAAACGUUAGGUCAAGGUGUAACCAAUGAAGUGGAAAGAAAUGGGCUACAUUUUCUUUCACAAGAACAUAUAUUAACAGUAAUCUUUAUGAAAAUUAAAGAUUUAAGGAGGAUUUAGUAGUAAAUUAAGAACAGAGAGCUUAAUUGAACUAGGCCAUAAAGCACGCACACACCGCCCGUCACCCUCCUCAAAUAUACACUCAAAUUUACAAAAAUUUUAAAUACAAGAGGAGAUAAGUCGUAACAAGGUAAGCAUACUGGAAAGUGUGCUUGGAAAAA